rnacentral:rRNA from 1 species
CAGCCGCCGCGGUAAUACGAAGGGUGCAAGCGUUAAUCGGAAUUACUGGGCGUAAAGCGUGCGUAGGCGGUUUGUUAAGUCUGCUGUGAAAUCCCCGGGCUCAACCUGGGAAUGGCAGUGGAUACUGGCAAGCUAGAGUGUGUCAGAGGAUGGUGGAAUUCCCGGUGUAGCGGUGAAAUGCGUAGAGAUCGGGAGGAACAUCAGUGGCGAAGGCGGCCAUCUGGGACAACACUGACGCUGAGGCACGAAAGCGUGGGGAGCAAACAGGAUUAGAUACCCGUGUAGUCCCUGUCUCUUAUAA